UCUGUCGUGGUGCAGUGGUAGCCCGCCAGACCUUUCAAGCAGUUUCAACAACUGUGUAGGCGUGCAGGCAAGGCUUGUCGGAUCUGCCGCGAGCACUGGUAAAGCGCCGCGAAGGACUGGAGACCCGAGUUCGAUUCUCGGCGACGGGG